CCUACGGGGGGCAGCAGUGGGGAAUAUUGCGCAAUGGGCGAAAGCCUGACGCCGCGACGCCGCGUGAGGGAUGAAGGUCUUCGGAUCGUAAACCUCUGUCAGCAGGGAAGAACGGUCACUGUGCUAAUCAGCAGUGAAUUGACGGUACCUGCAAAGGAAGCACCGGCUAACUCCGUGCCAGCCGCCGCGGUCAUACGGCGGGUGCGAGCGUUAAUCGGAAUUACUGGGCGUAAAGCGCUCGUAGGCGGUAUGUCAAGUCAAGGGUGAACUCCCCGCGCUCAACGUGGGAACUGCCUUUGAAACUGGCAAACUGGAGUGUGUGAGAGGAUAGUGGAAUUCCAGGUGUAGGAGUGAAAUCCGUAGAUAUCUGGAGGAACAUCAGUGGCGAAGGCGACUAUCUGGCACAUAACUGACGCUGAGGAGCGAAAGCGUGGGUAGCAAACAGGAUUAGAUACCCGAGUAGUC
rnacentral:rRNA from 1 species